rnacentral:rRNA from 1 species
UACGUAGGGGGCUAGCGUUGUCCGGAAUCAUUGGGCGUAAAGCGCGUGUAGGCGGUCCGGUAAGUCCGCUGUGAAAGUCGGGGGCUCAACCCUCGGAUGCCGGUGGAUACUGUCGGGCUUGAGUACGGAAGAGGCGAGUGGAAUUCCUGGUGUAGCGGUGAAAUGCGCAGAUAUCGGGAGGAACAUCAGUGGCGAAGGCGGCCCUCUGGUCCAGUACUGACACUCAAGUGCGAAAGCGUGGGGAGCAAACAGG